UGGGGAAUUUGGACAUGGGCGAAAGCCUGAUCCAGCCAUGCCGCGUGUGUGAAGAAGGCCUUCGGGUUGUAAAGCACUUUCAGUGGGGAAGAAAGCCUUGGGGYUAAUACCCUCGAGGAAGGACAUCACCCACAGAAGAAGCACCGGCUAACUCCGUGCCAGCAGCCGCGGUAAUACGGAGGGUGCGAGCGUUAAUCGGAAUUACUGGGCGUAAAGCGCGCGUAGGCGGUCUGAUAAGCCGGUUGUGAAAGCCCCGGGCUCAACCUGGGAACGGCAUCCGGAACUGUCAGGCUARAGUGCAGGARAGGAAGGUAGAAUUCCCGGUGUAGCGGUGAAAUGCGUAAAGAUCGGGAGGAAUACCAGUGGCGAAGGCGGCCUUCUGGACUGACACUGACGCUGAGGUGCGAAAGCGUGGGUAGCAAACAGGAUUARAUACCCUGGUAGUCCANGCCGUAAACGAUGUCACUUAGCCGUUGGGGUCUUUAAGACCUUUGKGGCGCAGUUAACGCAWUAAGUCGACCGCCUGGGGAGUACGGCCGCAAGGUUA
rnacentral:rRNA from 1 species